rnacentral:pre_miRNA from 14 species
UUUUAUUGGUGAUGAAAGAUCCCCGAAGAGAGACCCUUUCUAAAGUCACGGGAAAUCGCGGACCCCAGACACAGAGAGACCA